UACGGAGGGGGCUAGCGUUGCUCGGAAUCACUGGGCGUAAAGGGUGCGUAGGCGGGUCUUUAAGUCAGGGGUGAAAUCCUGGAGCUCAACUCCAGAACUGCCUUUGAUACUGAAGAUCUUGAGUCCGGGAGAGGUGAGUGGAACUGCGAGUGUAGAGGUGAAAUUCGUAGAUAUUCGCAAGAACACCAGUGGCGAAGGCGGCUCACUGGCCCGGUACUGACGCUGAGGCACGAAAGCGUGGGGAGCAAACAGGG
rnacentral:rRNA from 1 species